AAAUGGUAAUUAUUUAUUCUCACAUAAACAUUUGCAAAUUAGCUGGGGUUUAGAUGACCUGGGGUGGUCCGGGCUGGGCUUCAAGUUAUGGGCUGAGUCCAAGUUUGCUCCAGGUGUCUUCCAUCUUCCUUGGACGCAGGCAUGUGUAUGCAUCUCAAGGCAAUGUUGGAAGUGCAGGAGAGCCAGGCCCACUGUGCAAAUCCACAGUGACCUUGAUGGCAUCAUGCUUGCUAACAUCUUACUGGCCAAUAGUCACAUGGCCAAGUCCAACAUCCCUAAGUCAGGGAAGGGUAUUCCUCCAAAGUGUGGAGGAGUAAAAAUUUUCUGAACACAAAUCCGAACUAUCCCAAGACCUGUACCCAAAUAAAAAUGAAAACAAAACUCAACUAAAACUUAAAACUGUGUCUUCCAAGGGACAAAAAAAUCUGUAUGUUGAAACUUAAAUUAACUUUCCUGAAUUUUCUUGUUGCAUCAUUUGGCCAGUAAGGCAGGAGCACGGUGUUCUCUCUGCUUUUCUGGUCCUUGAAGCAUGUGCUUCGUCUGCAUAAUGGACCAAUCAGAGCUGUUUAUGUUUCUGUCCUAGCACCGCCCCCAUGCAGCAGAUAUUUGAUAAAGUUGGUGGAAGGCAAUUGUUGAAUUCUAUAAAUAUAUGGCAAUUGCAUCAAUGCAUGCUAUAUUUGUUUUACAGAAAUUUAAGGUCGCUGUAGGUAUUGUGCGUUUCUACAUCAAAGCUUCAAAAAUAGUUCCGGGGUGUGGAGGUGCACAUAGCUUCUACUAGCAAUACACACACUCUGGAGCACUCCCGGGAAGUCGUGGCCUCUGGGUUUUCUGUUUGUUUUUCUGUCUCCUUUGCAAUGUAAAUGAAAUCACUUUCUCAGCCUGAUCAUUGCUCGAGGGAAAUGCAUGCCUGGAAAAUAAUCAACAGAGAGGAGAAUGUAGACAAGAAGAUGGAGGUGGCAAUUGCCAAGUGGAGAAUAAGAAGAAGUGGAAAAAAAUGAAAAUAAGAAAGAUAAUAGGUGGAAGAGAGUCAGGCAGAGUGAAGGAAUCAAAGAGCGGCACAGGACCCUGAGAUCCGCCUAGCAUCCAUUAACAAGUAUUCACGGAGCACCGAUGUGUCAGGAACUGUCCUCCGCCCUGGGACCAUGCUGGGACAUGGACCGAGAAUAGUCACAUGUCUGUGGAGCUAGUGAGGGAGAGAGAUGCCAAAUAAUUAUGGAAAAGGUAUAUCUGCCAAGUAGAGAUAAGCCAGCCAGCCAACUGCUUAUGAGGAUAAGGAGAAACUGGG
rnacentral:lncRNA from 10 species